rnacentral:rRNA from 1 species
GACGAACGCUGGCGGCGUGCUUAACACAUGCAAGUCGAACGGAAAGGCCCUGCUUUUGUGGGUUGCUCGAGUGGCGAACGGGUGAGUAACACGUGAGUAACCUGCCCUUGACUUUGUGAUAACUUCAGGAAACUGGGGCUAAUACCGGAUAUGAGCUCCUGCUGCAUGGUGUGGGUUGGAAAGUUUCGGCGGUUGUGGAUGGACUCGCGGCUUAUCAGCUUGUUGGUGGGGUAGUGGCUUACCAAGGCUUUGACGGGUAGCCGGCCUGAGAGGGUGACCGGCCACAUUGGGACUGAGAUACGGCCCAGACUCCUACGGGAGGCAGCAGUGGGGAAUAUUGCACAAUGGGCGGAAGCCUGAGGCAGCAACGCCGCGUGCGGGAUGACGGCCUUCGGGGUGUAAACCGCUUUGGCCUGUGACGAAGCGUGAGUGACGGUAAUGGGUAAAGAAGCACCGGCUAACUACGUG